CCGUUCAGGCACAAGGAGCAGUAGGAGCAAAUAAGCUAACUGCUUGAAAGUGUGACAUGACAGAAAGGAGAACAGCAGAGACGACAUCUGCUGAGCAUGAAAUGCAUUACUGAGGCCUCUCAUAUGAAGAAGAAGAACAGCAGCGCCAUCUGCUGAACAUCAGAAAUGAAGAUUGACAGCCCUUCACCUCUGACAUCACUUCUGGGGUCUGAUCACAUUAACCA